UGCCGGUAGAUGUUAAAAGAUUACAGCAGCGAAGCCUAGAGAAGGGAAACUGGUAUAUGGCACCAAAGGAAUUACUGCUUGUCCAUCAGAGUUGCUACACUCUUUACUGGACAGUGGCAUAGGAGUAAUCUGAAGAUGGAAUGGAAGACCAGGGGAUUGCUUCCUUCGUACAGACUCGCCAGUGGCAUAAGAUACCCAGAUAUGUACUGAAAAAAACUUGAUCAUGAAGAGGCAGAAGUUUGUGCACUUAAUUAAAUAUGUCACAAGAGAUUAGAUCCAGCAUACCUGUGUUUGUAGAGGUAAAAUGCAAACCCUGAUAAUAUUAGAGCAAAGAACGGUACCAGGAUUGCAGCUGCAACAGAACUGCUGUUUGUACCAUAGAAGUGAUUGGGAUGAUCUGCGCCCGUACUUAAAGGACCUGAAAAGAAAAUGAAGGGAAGGGAAAGAAAAUAUUUUUUUUAAGGGAUGCAAGUAUAAGCAUGUAAAUCCAACAGAAGUAUGGCUGGCAAAACAAGCACAUUUUUUAAAAGUACUUGUAUGAAUGCAAUGUAUUUUCUAAAUGCAAUAAACAUGUAUAAAAUGUCUA